UACGUAGGGUGCGAGCGUUGUCCGGAAUCAUUGGGCGUAAAGCGCGUGUAGGCGGUCCGGUAAGUCCGCUGUGAAAGUCGGGGGCUCAACCCUCGGAUGCCGGUGGAUACUGUCGGGCUUGAGUACGGAAGAGGCGAGUGGAAUUCCUGGUGUAGCGGUGAAAUGCGCAGAUAUCAGGAGGAACACCAAUUGCGAAGGCAGCUCGCUGGGACGUUACUGACGCUGAGACGCGAAAGCGUGGGGAGCGAACAGG
rnacentral:rRNA from 1 species